rnacentral:lncRNA from 1 species
ACUCGUUCGGGAUUCAGGCUGUAUAUGAGUUAGUGAGGACUGAAGAGAGGAGAGUUAAACAAACAAGCAAACAAACAAACACACAGGGCAAGAAAACAGGACCCAACAGCAGACGCUGACACCCUCCCGACCUGCAGUGCAGAGUGAUUCCAAGAACCGCGCGCGACAUUCCGUGUCUCAGGAAAGAUGGUACCCACACUAAGCUCAGCCAAGAACGGCCUCCGCGCCCGCUUAAUUUUCCGAACCUGUUCUUGUGGUGCUGAUGGGGAGGGUGGCCGGGAAGAGAGGAGAGACCACUGAUCAAGUUGCUGUUUGUAUAUUGGUUGAUUGCUGUUUGCUGUUUGUUUAUUGAUUGAUUUUUUUUUAUUGGCCCCUGGCCGAGGAUGAGCUAAGAAGCCUUUUGCAUACCUUGACCUGACCUCACUUAUCCUUCCACACUUCUACACCCUUUUCCUUCCUGCGCAGGGUCCUGAGCAGGUCUAAAUCAAGCAGUGCUUAGAGCCUCCCACAACGGGCCUUCAACCAUAUUUGGAAGAAAAGAAGGAAUCCAGAGAGGAAAUGGUUACCUGUGCUUACAGGCGGUCUGCACCACAAGCGCUGACUCAGCAAGAGGGAACUCUGCGUACCCCUGUCCCGAAAGCCCCUUGAGCAAGGACGUCAGAAAGAGACUAAAAUGGAGGGACAGCCUCCGAGGGCCCUGGAGCAGGGUAACAUGAGAUCUAUGACUAUCUAGUCAUUCGCUACCUGCAUUUGAAAGCAUAUGCAUUAUUAUGGUUGUCACCAUUUAUAGUAGUAUACUUAGACGUUGUCCAUCGAAUCUGGACGCAUACUCAAUUUGAAACUAAAUAAAACCUAAAGGAACAUAGGUGACCAUGAGGGACUCCAGGGAACAUUCUCUGGGACGGAACUCUGUGAAGAGUGGAGAAGAGGCCUCUAGGAUCAAGCUAUUCAUCAUGGAUACAGCCUCAGAUCCAGGACCUCCACCCUCUGGUGCAGUAUUUCCAGGAUAUUAGUGGGGGACUGUGGACCAUUCAAGCCUUGGAACAAGUCUAGCCCAACCACUGUCUAACUUUGCUGCUGACGGAAGCCUGACCCAGCCCUGACCUCGUAGACCUUAUAGGAAUAUGUUCUCAGCUCACUGCUCCACAUUUCUGGCCCUGUGACCUCACCAAACAAACACCUGCCUAUCUCAGAGCAUUGUAUCUAUUCAUGUUGAUUUCUGUCUCUUCCUUAUUAGUCUCUUGCACAAACCAUGAACUGGAUGAAAGCAAGAACGGGAUCGUUUGGGUUCUGUGGGUGACAUCAGGACUUGACUGUGGACUUGACUUGCAUCUGGCACAGCCUGCUCGCCAGCUCCUAUUCCCUUGCCCACCUGUUCUUUGACCUUGAACGCCCAACCCCUUUUUCUUGGCAUCAGUAUCGUCCUCUCUAAGAGCAGAGAUUAGGAUUAAUAAAUCUAUGACGUGCUUGUCACAGGGACUAAUG